rnacentral:lncRNA from 1 species
UACUUCGCAUGCACGUCAAGUAAUGUAGGAGAGAGAGAUGAAGAACUCUUCAAGAGAAAAGAAGGAGAGCCUUGAGAUCUAAUCUUAAGGCCUUGAAAGGAGCCCACAUGCCACACCAUGUGGGAUAGAGAGGAUGCCCAAGAAGAGAGAGACACCUAGGGAGAGGUGACGCCUAAGGAUAGGGGAUGCCCGAGGAUCUCGCGCCU